GGAUCCAGACUUUGAUUCUGGCUCAGGAUGAACGCUAGCUACAGGCUUAACACAUGCAAGUCGAGGGGAAACGACAUCGAAAGCUUGCUUUUGAUGGGCGUCGACCGGCGCACGGGUGAGUAACGCGUAUCCAACCUGCCCACCACUUGGGGAUAACCUUGCGAAAGUAAGACUAAUACCCAAUGAUAUCUCUAGAAGACAUCUGAAAGAGAUUAAAGAUUUAUCGGUGAUGGAUGGGGAUGCGUCUGAUUAGCUUGUUGGCGGGGUAACGGCCCACCAAGGCAACGAUCAGUAGGGGUUCUGAGAGGAAGGUCCCCCACAUUGGAACUGAGACACGGUCCAAACUCCUACGGGAGGCAGCAGUGAGGAAUAUUGGUCAAUGGACGAGAGUCUGAACCAGCCAAGUAGCGUGCAGGAUGACGGCCCUAUGGGUUGUAAACUGCUUUUAUAAGGGAAUUAAGUGAGUCUCGUGAGACUUUUUGCAUGUACCUUAUGAAUAAGGACCGGCUAAUUCCGUGCCAGCAGCCGCGGUAAUACGGAAGGUCCGGGCGUUAUCCGGAUUUAUUGGGUUUAAAGGGAGCGUAGGCCGGAGAUUAAGCGUGUUGUGAAAUGUAGACGCUCAACGUCUGCACUGCAGCGCGAACUGGUUUCCUUGAGUACGCACAAAGUGGGCGGAAUUCGUGGUGUAGCGGUGAAAUGCUUAGAUAUCACGAAGAACUCCGAUUGCGAAGGCAGCUCACUGGAGCGCAACUGACGCUGAAGCUCGAAAGUGCGGGUAUCGAACAGGAUUAGAUACCCUGGUAGUCCGCACGGUAAACGAUGGAUGCCCGCUGUUGGUCUGAAUAGGUCAGCGGCCAAGCGAAAG
rnacentral:rRNA from 1 species